UAAGGCAAACAGUGCCGCUUCCUCUGAUUGGCCUGUUAGUGAAGGCCACCCGGAAGGUGGAGCUCCCCAGAGGAACCGUGGAGGAAGCCCCGCCCCCUCUCCUUACCGGGAAAAGGAAGGGGGAGGCGUAACGAGGGCCGGCAUGCCUAGCAGCCUGCGAAUUCGCUCCCUAACGUGCCCAGGCCCGGACAUCCUGAAGAGUGUCUGGAGUGACGGGAGAUGGGGGCUAGAUUAGCAGCUACCCUGACAUGAACCUAAGAAGGGGACCUUCAAGGAUGGCCCCAUAGAUGGCAUCCUCACUCCCAAUAAAGUUCCAUAACCCACCUUG